GGCGCGGUAGCCAAGUGGUUAGGCAACGGUUUGCAAAACCGUCACACGUCGGUUCGAAUCCGAUCCGCGCCU
rnacentral:tRNA from 1 species